GUCCUAGCCGUAAACGAUGAACACUAGGCGUAGUCGGUAUCGACCCCGGCUGUGCCGUAGCCAACGCAUUAAGUGUUCCGCCUGGGGAGUACGGGCCGCAAGGCUAAAAACUCAAAGGAAUUGACGGGGGCCCGCACAAGCAGCGGAGCGUGUGGUUUAAUUCGUCGCAACGCGAAGAACCUUACCAGGGCUUGACAUGCACCGGAAAACGGCGGAAACGUCGUCCUCCCGCAAGGGAUCGGUGUGCAGGUGUUGCAUGGCUGUCGU
rnacentral:rRNA from 1 species